UACGAAGGGGGCUAGCGUUGCUCGGAAUCACUGGGCGUAAAGCGCACGUAGGCGGAUUUUUAAGUCAGGGGUGAAAUCCUGGAGCUCAACUCCAGAACUGCCUCUGAUACUGGGAAUCUUGAGUCCGGGAGAGGUGAGUGGAACUGCGAGUGUGGAGGUGAAAUUCGUAGAUAUUCGCAAGAACACCAGUGGCGAAGGCGGCUCACUGGCCCGGUACUGACGCUGAGGUGCGAAAGCGUGGGGAGCAAACAGG
rnacentral:rRNA from 1 species